rnacentral:tRNA from 1 species
GCGCCGCUAGCUCAGGCAGCUGACUCUUAAUCAGCGGGUCCGGGGUUCGAGUCCCUGGCGGCGCA